rnacentral:rRNA from 1 species
UACGGGGGGGGCAAGCGUUGUUCGGAAUUACUGGGCGUAAAGGGCUCGUAGGCGGCCAACUAAGUCAUACGUGAAAUCCCUCGGCUUAACCGAGGAACUGCGUCUGAUACUGGAUGGCUUGAGUUCGGGAGAGGGAUGCGGAAUUCCAGGUGUAGCGGUGAAAUGCGUAGAUAUCUGGAGGAACACCGGUGGCGAAGGCGGCGUCCUGGACAGAUACUGACGCUGAUGAGCGAAAGCCAGGGGAGCAAACGGG